rnacentral:rRNA from 1 species
CUACGGGCCGCUGCAGUGGGGAAUUUUGCGCAAUGGGGGAAACCCUGAUGCAGCAAUACCGCGUGAGUGAAGAAGGCCUUUGGGUCGUAAAGCUCUUUUCUUGGGGAAGAUAGUGACGGUACCCAAGGAAUAAGCACCGGCUAACUCCGUGCCAGCAGCCGCGGUAAUACGGAGGGUGCAAGCGUUGUUCGGAUUUACUGGGCGUAAAGGGCACGUAGGCGGCACAGCAAGUUAAGGGUGAAAUCCCGGGGCUCAACUCCGGAACUGCUCUUAAAACUGCUGAGCUAGAGAUAGUCAGAGGCGGGUGGAAUUCCAGGUGUAGAGGUGAAAUUCGUAGAUAUCAGGAGGAACACCGGUGGCGAAGGCGGCCCGCUGGGGCUAUUCUGACGCUAAGGUGCGAAAGCGUGGGGAGCAAACGGGAUUAGAUACCCGAGUAGUC